rnacentral:rRNA from 1 species
UGAGGAAUAUUGGUCAAUGGGCGCAAGCCUGAACCAGCCAUCCCGCGUGCAGGAAGACGGCCCUAUGGGUUGUAAACUGCUUUUCCAGGGGGAGAAUUUUUCUGUCGUGACAGGAAUUGACGGUACCCUGGGAAUAAGCAUCGGCUAACUCCGUGCCAGCAGCCGCGGUAAUACGGAGGAUGCGAGCGUUAUCCGGAUUUAUGGGUUUAAAGGUGCGUAGGCGGAUUGAUAAGUCAGUGGUGAAAACCUGCAGCUUAACUGUAGACUUGCCGUUGAUACUGUCAGUCUUGAGUGUGGUCAGGGUAGCGGAAUGUGUAAUGUAGCGGUGAAAUGCUUAGAUAUUACACAGAACACCGAUUGCGAAGGCAGCUUACUGGGCCAUUACUGACGCUGAUGCAC